rnacentral:rRNA from 1 species
CGAGUCGCAAGCUCGCGAGAGUAAGCUAAAUCUCUUAAAGCCGUUCUCAGUUCGGACUGUAGGCUGCAACUCGCCUACACGAAGUCGGAAUCGCUAGUAAUCGCGGAUCAGCAUGCCGCGGUGAAUACGUUCCCGGGCCUUGUACACACCGCCCGUCACACCAUGGGAGUUUGUAACGCCCAAAGUCGGUGGCCUAACCUUUAUGGAGGGAGCCGCCUAAGGCGGGACAGAUGACUGGGGUGAAGUCGUAACAAGGUACC